rnacentral:rRNA from 1 species
GACGAACGCUGGCGGCGUGCUUAACACAUGCAAGUCGAGCGGUAAGGCCCUUUCGGGGGUACACGAGCGGCGAACGGGUGAGUAACACGUGGGUGACCUACCUUCGAAUGGGGGAUAACGUCCCGAAAGGGACGCGUAAUACCGCAGUAACAAUCCUGCCUUUGAACAGGCGAGAUCAAAGCCGGGGAUCGCAAAGACCUGGCGUUUGAAGAGGGGCCCGCGUCCGAUUAGCUAGUUGGUGAGGUAACGGCUCACCAAGGCGACGAUCGGU